rnacentral:rRNA from 1 species
AGGCCAUUGCUAUCAGGGUUUGACUAAGCCAUGCGAGUCGAGAGGUGUAAGACCUCGGCAUACUGCUCAGUAACACGUGGUUAACCUGCCCUAAGGUGGAGAAUACUCCCGGGAAACUGGGGCUAAUGCUCCAUAGUGGCUAUGUCCUGGAAUGGUAUAUCCUCGAAAGAUCCGUCGCCUUAGGAUGGGACUGCGUCCGAUUAGGUUGUUGGCGGGGUAACGGCCCACCAAGCCAUUGAUCGGUACGGGUUGUGGGAGCAAGAUCCCGGAGAUGGAUUCUGAGACAUGAAUCCAGGCCCUACGGGGCGCAGCAGGCGCGCAAACUUUACAAUGCGGGCAAUCGUGAUAAGGAAACCCUGAGUGCCUGUCGAUGCAGGCUGUUCAUAUAUCUAAAUCAUAUGUGAAGAAAGGGCAGGGCAAGACCGGUGCCAGCCGCCGCGGUAAUACCGGCUGCUCGAGUGAUGGCCACUAUUACUGGGUUUAAAGCGUCCGUAACUUGA